rnacentral:rRNA from 1 species
AACGAACGCUGGCGGCACGCCUAACACAUGCAAGUCGAACGAAGCUUCACCUUCGGGUGAAUGACUGAGUGGCGGACGGGUGAGUAACGCGUGGGAACCUGCCCUGUAGUAAGGGAUAACGUCUGGAAACGGUCGCUAAUACCUUAUAAUACUCUUCGGAGGAAAGAUUUAUCGCUAUAGGAUGGGCCCGCGUUGGAUUAGGUAGUUGGUGAGGUAAAGGCUCACCAAGCCGAUGAUCCAUAGCUGGUUUGAGAGGAUGAUCAGCCACACUGGGACUGAGACACGGCCCAG